GUGGAAACAGCACGCUGCGGUAGCCGCUGUCCACGUCCGGUCCGUAGAUGACGUGCCUGUCAGCCCCAACCCGAACAAGGGUGUGCAGAAGCCACUCCGAGGCUCAGCAGGAAGGAAGCGAAAUCUGAGCCUGAUGCAGGGGGCAUUAUGCUGAGAAAGGAAAAGAGGACCACUCACUACAUGCAACCUCUGUAACUGGCAAUCAAAUAUGUCUGUUAAAGAUCAUCUUUAAAUGCAUUUAUUUCAUUGGAAAUGUCAUGAAAAGAGAUAACGGAGAAACACAAUAAAUGUUUUUAAUCUUU